GGAUCCUUAGCUCAGUUGGUUUAGAGCGUCUGUCUUACAAACAGAGGGUCGUAGGUUCGAAUCCUACAGGGUCCACCA
rnacentral:tRNA from 1 species